rnacentral:rRNA from 1 species
GAUGAACGCUGGCGGCGUGCCUAACACAUGCAAGUCGAGCGAUCUUCUUCGGAAGAGAGCGGCGGACGGGUGAGUAACGCGUGGGUAACCUGCCCUGUACACACGGAUAACAUACCGAAAGGUAUGCUAAUACGAGAUAAUACGCUUUUAUCGCAUGGUAGAAGUAUCAAAGCUCCGGCGGUACAGGAUGGACCCGCGUCUGAUUAGCUAGUUGGUAAGGUAAUGGCUUACCAAGGCGACGAUCAGUAGCCGACUUGAGAGGGUGAUCGGCCACAUUGGAACUGAGACACGGUCCAAACUCCUACGGGAGGCAGCAGUGGGGAAUAUUGCACAAUGGGCGAAAGCCUGAUGCAGCAACGCCGCGUGAGCGAUGAAGGCCUUCGGGUCGUAAAGCUCUGUCCUCAAGGAAGAUAAUGACGGUACAUGAGGAGGAAGCCCCGGCUAACUACGUGCCAGCCGCCGCCGUAA